ensembl:lncRNA
UUUUUUUGCUGUUGUUUAGCCCCACCUGUUUCCGUAUCUCGGCCUCCUCACAAGGUAUAUCAGCUGCUUCACACCGAGACCAUUUUCCUUUGCUCAGACGUACUCGCAGAUUUCGUCGUCUCAGAAUAUUUCACCUCCACAUCCAACACUGACAUUGCGUUUCUUCCAGAUGGCGGUCUCCAGGAUGCGGUCCGCCUGGGCGGCUCUCUGCAUCGCCGUGCUAGUGAUGUCAGGCUCUGCUGAAGGUGCUAGUUUGGUGACGUUAAAAGCGGCGAACACAGAACCAUCAUACUCUUAUGACUUAACCAUGGACGUCACCAACCGCAUCUACAGUGAUUCUCUCCUCAACCCUAACUCUCACGACUAUAAUAUGAUGUUUGGGGAAGUUAGCAGUGCGCUCUACUCUGUCUACGGCUGCCCCACUUGCGACACACGCACAUUUUAUCAAGGUGUAACAGCCAUGACCUUCAGUGACAAGGCUGGAUCUGUGGUUGUUCAGGCCACCAUCAUGUUCUACUCAGACCAAACCAAUGCCAUGGUGAUCAAGUACCUAUUUCUGCAGGCCGUCAAUAGCAGAAAUGAAAUAAAUGGCCUGAGAAUCAACCCUGGAUUCACACAGGUGUCUUCACAAUCCACAAGCGUUUCCCAUCCAACCACCACUCCAACCACCACUCCAACCACCACUCCAACCACUACCCCAACCACUACUCCAACCACCACUCCAACCACUACUCGUCUAAUAACAUGUGACCCAUAUUUAAGCAAUCAUGAUAUCAUUCAGAUAAUUAUGUCAUGUUUUAUCACUC